rnacentral:rRNA from 1 species
UACGAAGGGGGCUAGCGUUGCUCGGAAUUACUGGGCGUAAAGCGCACGUAGGCGGCUCUUUAAGUAGGGGGUGAAAUCUUGCGGCUCAACUGCAAGGCUGCCUCCUAAACUGACAGGCUUGAGCACAGUAGAGGCAGGUGGAAUUCCCGGUGUAGCGGUGGAAUGCGUAGAGAUCGGGAGGAACACCAGUGGCGAAGGCGGCUUGCUGGGCCGGACCUGACGCUGAGACGCGAAGGC